CCUAAGGCCCAACCAAAUCCAAGCCAAGGCAAUGCUUAAUGAAAGAACCAACAUGCUUUCGCAUUUCAAACUCACGAACGCACCUGAACUCUUCAUCUCUGCCGCGCCGGAAUUCGCCACUGGCGGUAGCGGAUGACCUAACCCUCAAAACCUUACAUAAAAACACUCGUACCUUCUCCCUCUGAUUCCCUUCCCUAAGUCCGAAUCAAAGAACAACUCAAAUAAACCCUAAAUUUCCAGAUCCAAAAAUUAAAUGAUGCGGCGAGGGAAUUGAAACCUAUGAGGGUAGGGUUUUAAAUCCCGAAGCUCGAUACUUCACUUCGAUGGAGAUCUAGGAGGAAACCAAACAAGAAUCGGAGGAUUAGUUACCUGCCGGAGUAGCUUCGGCGGCUCUUCAGAAGUGGCGUUUGUUAAAGAAAUCUAGAGAUUCGUCUCCUUAGGUAACGUGGCUCUUGAUUCCUUUGCUCCAGUUAUUAAUUCGAAUCUUAUCCUUCUCUCCUCUCUGAAUUUUUAGUCGGUAGGUAAUGCUUGCUCAUGGUGUUGGUGCGAAGAGGGGAAUGAGAGUGAAGAAUGAUGAGUUCUGAGAUUUUGUGCAGUGUGUGAAGAUAAUGAUGAUGGCGACGCAGAGGAUUUCAAGGACUGGAGAGGGAUGAGUGAAUUUGAACAGUGAAAAGAUUGAAGGUUGUAAACUCGUGAAUCUCAAAUGCAGAUUGAAGGCUGCAAGCUCGUGAAUCUCAGAUGCAGAUUAAAGGAUUAAGUUGCAGAAUGAAGAAUUCUUAAGUUGCAGAAUGAAGAAAAAAUCGAGUUGCAGAAUGAAAAAAAACUCCCUCUACAGAAUGAUAGGUUAUUGUUUAUGCUAAAUCUUCUGCAAUGUUGAAAAAUAAUGCAGGGCGAUGCAUUUCUGUUAGCCAAUGUGCAGGGUUGUACUAUUUCCAAAUGUCUGAGCUGUAGGGUCUUGUUUGAAAAGUUCUUUUGCAGGCCGAACUGAUCAUAUUUCUAUUACGCGUUUGCCUCAUGCAGGUUAAUAUUUCUUGGUGCAGCUGGUGGUGGAUGGACUUAUUGAUGUGCUGCAGGAUGGUGCAGCCUUGUUGUGGGAUGGCAAGAAUGAGUACAAGUUGGAUUUGAACUUCCUGUACAGGAAGUUGAAUGGGUUUAGAGUUAGGAAAUUUAAUUGUAAACUAUAUUGAUCUUAGAUAAGUUAUAUAUUAUGUAAAAUAUUGUGCUGUAACAUGAAUGGAUUGAAAAUAUGGAAUAUAUUUGGAUUUUUUUUUCCAAAA